CACACACACACACAAAUGUCAAGCCCUCCACGUCAUUGUGAAUGACUUCAGCUGAGGAGAUAGCUCUUCUGCCUCUAGAGACAGGGCCUCCAUGCGCUACGUGGAGGCUUAGGGACAUCGCUACAAUCCACCUAGAGCUUGGCCGGAGUGAUCCAGGGGCACUGACAAUGGCGCAGCUCUGGGACUGGACACCAAGGCCCACAAGUACCCGUCUGCUGCAUGAUGUUACUGCCAAGCCAGCAGUCAUGUCCACCCCAGUCAAUGACUAGGUACUUACUCAUUUAUACUCCCGAGUUGAGAAAAUCAAUUGUGUGUAAAUUUCUUGCUUAAGGAAAUUAUGCCAUAGCUCGCCAUCACUGUGACUUGAACCUGCAACCCGACAAGGUUCCCGGAUGUUUUCAUUCUCCAAAUGCACUCUCUAACCGAUUGAGCUACAGCACCACACACACACACACAUACACACACACACACACACACACACACACACACACACACACACACACACACACACACACACACAAGAACGAGCUAACACAAAUAUUCUGUGAAGUGUUGGCCCACUAGACUAUUGUAAAAAUCUUUGGAAGUACUUAAACAGCUGUGGUGCUGUGACACUAACUGAAGUUGGGCCUCCCAGUUAUGUGGCACAAGUAGUGUGUUUACCACUACCACAGCUAAUGCUGCAUUAUUUUGUACGUCUGAUGUGAGAGUAGUAACUAAUAUAGUGGUUUGUUUGUUGAAAGCUGUAAUUGUGGCCAAGUGCGUUUUGUCCAAUGGAAUUUAAACUGUUCGUGUUUAUUUGGAAUCAAGCUUGCAACCCAGCAAGGUUGCAGUAGUACUACGUUCAACAUGUGUGUUUUCUACAUACAUCAAGCAAUCCACAUGAUAACCCCACACCCACAUGUACUGACUAUAUUAUGAGCUUCCACAGUGUUGUGAUGCGGGAAGGUAAGCAGGCUAACUUGAACAUGAGUUUUUAUUUGCAAUCUAUAAUGAGGAUAGAGAACACAACUGUGGUCUCCAAACAUGAAUUAUGACAAAGAAAUUCUACCAUUUUUGCUAGAUGGGCAUUUGGACUUUCAUGGUGUGUUUUGUUUUUGGCAAUCAAGUUGCUUUCCACUGACUUGUUCGGCUCUUUACAUUAAAGUUGGCAUGAAGAUAACGCACCCACACCCACAUGUGCACAAACUUGGUUGGUACAUGUGAGUUACAUGUAGACUGUAGGUUCUACUGUAGCAUGAUCUAAUCUGUUGUAUCUGUUUGAAGGCUGGCUUAGAACUACAGUUAUGCAAAGAUAUCGACCUCACUCAGUCAUAACAGAGAAGACUGGCUAAAUGUCAAUCAAAGUUGUUGCAUGCUGUACACUGCAGAUAAUAUGUACUAACAAGUUAAUUUCCAUCUGCAUACAAGAUGAAGCAGUUUGCAUUUUCAGAUAACGAAUAGAGCACGUUCUAUUUCAUGU